rnacentral:rRNA from 1 species
UACAGAGGGGGCAAGCGUUGUUCGGAAUUACUGGGCGUAAAGCGCGCGCAGGCGGCUAUCCAAGUCAGUGGUGAAAGCCCGGAGCUCAACUCCGGAACUGCCAUUGAAACUGUUUAGCUUGAGGACGAGAGAGGUGAGUGGAAUUCCCAGUGUAGAGGUGAAAUUCGUAGAUAUUGGGAAGAACACCGGUGGCGAAGGCGGCUCACUGGCUCGUAUCUGACGCUCAGGCGCGACAGCGUGGGGAUCAAACAGG